UACGAAGGGGGCUAGCGUUGCUCGGAAUCACUGGGCGUAAAGGGUGCGUAGGCGGGUCUUUAAGUCAGGGGUGAAAUCCUGGAGCUCAACUCCAGAACUGCCUUUGAUACUGAAGAUCUUGAGUUCGGGAGAGGUGAGUGGAACUGCGAGUGUAGAGGUGAAAUUCGUAGAUAUUCGGAAGAACACCAGUGGCGAAGGCGGCUCACUGGACUGGUAUUGACGCUGAGGUGCGAAAGCGUGGGGAGCAAACAGGG
rnacentral:rRNA from 1 species